UACGUAGGUGGCAAGCGUUGUCCGGAUUUACUGGGCGUAAAGAGCGCGCAGGCGGUCGUUCAAGUCGCGUGUGAAAGCCCCCGGCUCAACUGGGGAGGGUCACGCGAUACUGAUCGACUCGAAGGCAGGAGAGGGUAGUGGAAUUCCCGGUGUAGUGGUGAAAUGCGUAGAUAUCGGGAGGAACACCAGUGGCGAAGGCGGCGUUCUGGACUGCAACUGACACUGAGGAACGAAAGCCAGGGGAGCAAACGGG
rnacentral:rRNA from 1 species